CAUUCUCCUCCUCCCUUUCAGAUCCAGCUGCGCAGUCACUUCUGGUUAGCUCAACAGAUGGACUUCCAUGAUGCUGGUACAUACGUGAGGUUCACAGCUGUGGCUUCCUGUGGACUGAUUAAAUUUGCUUUAUCCAUGUGACAUUCCAUGUGCCCCAGAGUAAAUAACUGCUUCAUUUCUUCUGCUAACUGGUAUAAUCCAUUCUUCUAUUCUCUCCCAGAACCAUAAAUAUCCUCUCAGUGUGCUCAGAUCUACCGGCUAGCCUUCCAUCUCAUCUUCUCGGUGCCUAUCUACCACAGUGAGAUGCCGAUUCACACGUCAGCCCACAUGGCUCGUCACGCCUCCAACAGGACUUACAUAUGCCGACUGCUCCAUAAACUGCCUUUAAACCCAAUAGACUUACGGUCAUUACAUGUAUUAUUCUCUUUUGAAAUGGGUUCUCUCUAUGUUACCCAGAGUAACUUAAAGCUCAUAGCAGCUUCAUACCACCAUCCUCCUGCCUCAGCUUCCCAAGGAGCUGGGAACACACACAUACACACACGCACACACACACAGUCCAGAUAAUAGUCUUUUUGGCCACACUGCUGUUCUGUGUGCCCCUGUGGUAGCUAUCCUUCUGAUUAUUUCUUUUCUGAAAUCAUGUUAGAAGUUUACAUCGUGUACAGCAAAAUUAGUAUGUGUGUGGGUUUCUAGAUUCUGCGUCUCACUGUGGAGCCCUGGCUGGCGUGAAACUCCCCGUGUAGAUCAGGCUGGCCUCAGAGACCCACAGUGGGACUUCUGCCUCCUGAGUCCUAGGAUUAAAGGUUUUUACCACCAUGUCUAUCUUUUUGUUUGUUUUUUUCCUUUAAAAAAAAUCCAUAUUACUUACUGGUUGUGUACACUCCUGUAUGCACAACCAGGUGGUGGGUGUUUAGCUGACAGGUGUCCUGUGGGUUUGUUCCAUGUGUGGAGCUCAGGCUGUCUGGCGAGUGGCAAGUGUUUUUACCUGUGGGCCUUCUCACUAGGCCUACAGUUUCCAUCAGUACCCGAGAGCAUGAAUUCUUGUAUUUUUCCUGAAUAUCCUUGACUCUGUGCAACCCUGAUGCUUGUUCUUCCAGACUGAGUUGGAAAACUAUAGCCCACAAGCCAGAUCUGUCUGCCUUGCCACCUGCUUUUAUGCAACCUGAAAGUUUUAUGAAACCUAAACUUAAUUUUUGUAUUUUGACUGCUGGGGUAAAUCAGAAUAAUCAUACUUUUUUUUUUCUUGAGAUGGGGGGGUCUCGCUGUGUAACCCGGGAUGGCCUGAAACUCACUCUCUAGACCAGGCUGGCUUUGAACUCAUAGAGAUCACCUGCCUCCGCCUCUGAGCGCUGGGAUCAAAGGUGUGCACCACCACAUUCUGGAGCUCUUUUUUCUUUGUAAUUUCUUGUUUAAAUCAAACAUUGAUUAUAAACCACUGUGGAGACAUGAUGGAAGGUCUUUCUGUCAGCAUCUCAGCCAGGUGGAUGGAAUGACAAUGAGAAGUGGGCACUUGGGAAGAUGCUUUCCCGGGACUUAGAGUGUCAUUUCGAAAUUUCUUGUCGGUUUGCUGUAACACUUUCAUUUUAAUUAUGGCUCGAAGGCUAAAGUCCUUCAUUUUCUCUUUAACAUUUUUUUAAUUAAAAUAACACAGUAAUGUACAAUAUAGAAAGUAGACAACCACAGUCAAAUAAAAAUCACCAGUCUGGCUGGGCAUAGUGUCUGUCUGUCUGUCUAUCUCUAUCAUCUAUCUAUCCAUCCAUUUAUCAAUCUAUCUAUCAAUCUAUCUGUCUAUUUAUAUCUUUUGUCAGACUGUCCAUCCGUCCCUGUAUCUGUCUAGAGACAGGGUCUCACAAUGCAGCCUUGGCUGGUCUGAAAUUCACUCUGUGAUCCUGGCUGGCUUUGAACUCAGCAGUCUGUCUACCUCUGCUUCAGGACACUGGGACUAAAGGCAUGGGUUAGCAAUGGUAGCUUGAGCCUUGCUUUUGUGGUUAUUUGGUUUUGUUUUAUUUUUUUAAUUGUUGAUUUGUUUUGUUUUGGUGUAUUUGUUAGUUUCUUUGUUUUUUCAAGACAGGGUCUCUCUGUGUAUACCCUUGGCUGUCCUGGAAAGUCACUCUGUAAAGCAGGCUGGCCUUGAACUCUGCCUGCCUCUGCCUCCUGAGUGGUGGGAUUAAAGGCGUGUGCCGCCACUGCCCAGCAAAGCCACGCUUUUAAAAAUAAAAAUUUAAAACCAAUGUCACUGAAAUCCCAGAUAACAUGGAAGUUCUAUGCCGAUUAUUUUUCUCUCAGUUUACACAUCAUUUCCAUGUGUAAUGUAGGUUUUUUUGUUUUUGUUUUUUUUUUUAGUUGUUUCUUGAUUGGCUGUGUUUUAAUUGCAGGUGUCUAUCUGCACAGCACUUUGUAAAGAUUGUUAUUUUAUCUUCUGCAGAGCUGGGGACCGAAUCCAGGUUCUCAUGUAGCUAACGAGAAGUCCAUGUUUAUCCUCCACGACUGUGAUUAACACCGUCGUGACCACAAGCAAUCCAGGGGAGUAAAACACUGAGUUUCUCCUAGGUCGCAGCCUAUCAUCUAAGCAAGGCAAGGCAGGGAGCUUGGGAAGGCUGCCUCCUGCCUUGCUCAGGUAGCUUUCUGGUCUGGCCUGAGCCCACUGUAGAGAGGUGGCUCGACCUAUAAAGAGCUGUGUCUUCCUACAUCCCUACAUCAAUUAGCAAUCAAGAAAAUGCCAUACAGACAUGCCCAUAGUCCAGUCUGAUGGAGGCAGUUCUGUACUUGAGGCUUCCUCAUCCCAGGUGACUCUAGGUUUAUGUCAAGUUGACAGCUGAAGCUAACUGUGACAGGAGGUAAGGGCUAUACCAGUAGCCUGCAGGCUUAAAGGAUUUCUUUAAAUGC
rnacentral:lncRNA from 1 species